AUAUUUAAUAGCUUUAUGUUGGUUAUAUUUAUUUAGUUAUUAUUGCUAUAAAUAAUUAAGUGAGUUCUGUCUAGUUGUUGGGUUUUAAGUGGGACCAUUUGUGACCCCUCCAAUUUAACUGGGAAUUUUCUUAGUAUAAUUGUUGGCAUAAUAAUUAUCUAAAUAUUUCUGAUAAUAUUGUUAUUAAUAUUAUCGACGCUUCCGCAACACCAUAUACUAGCAACAAAAUCUUUGAAGAAGAGGGAGGAGUUUUACUUGUUAAAGAACGUCCCUGGGUAUGCCAAAAACAAAAGAAAACUGAUUGGUUGUAAGAACCGGACUGAAAGGGGCCAGAGAAGAGGAAAGGAGAAAGGAAAGCCUCAAUUAGCAUAUGAACAGUUUCGAAAGGAAAGCUUUCCUGAGAAUUGAAACCGUAAAAAAAAGAAAUGAUGGCUUCUAGAUAGGUAGGGCAAUUCAGUGAAUUCCGAUUGGGCAAUAUUUCGAUGCUGUUAUAUUUUUCUAGAUUGUUCUGAAUGUUUGUUUAUGCUGAUUUUCCUUGGGCCCUAUUAAGUCGUUGGGCCAAUUUCUUUGUUUUUUUUUCUGUUUCUUUUCUUUUAAGACGUUGUUGCUAUGUAAUUUGUUUAAUAUUUAAUAAUAAAGCCCAG
rnacentral:lncRNA from 1 species